UGGGGAAUAUUGCACAAUGGGGGAAACCCUGAUGCAGCAACGCCGCGUGAGUGACGAAGGCCUUCGGGUUGUAAAACUCUGUCUUAGCUGACGAUAAUGACGGUAAGCUAGGAGGAAGCCACGGCUAACUACGUGCCAGCAGCCGCGGUAAUACGUAGGUGGCGAGCGUUGUCCGGAUUUACUGGGCGUAAAGGGAGCGUAGGCGGUUUUUUAAGUGGGGUGUGAAAUCCCUGGGCUUAACCCAGGAAUUGCAUUCCAAACUGGAUAACUAGAGUGCAGGAGAGGAAAGUGGAAUUCCAAGUGUAGCGGUGAAAUGCGUAGAGAUUUGGAGGAACACCAGUGGCGAAGGCGACUUUCUGGACUGUAACUGACGCUGAGGCUCGAGAGCGUGGGGAGCAAACA
rnacentral:rRNA from 1 species